GAAAAUUUACAAUCUCAGUUGAAAAGCAGUUAUAAGCAUUACCGUGAGCAUCGAUAAUAUUCCAGAAGCUCAUUAGCGAUCCAGGAACGUCUAUCCCCCUACCUGGUCGCAGGAGUAAUUAUCUAUUACAACCUAGCUGGCUGUUGUUCUAGGUAUAAAAUGCAAAGAGGAAGCACCUGCACGCAUCUUUACCGCUCCCUGGGGUCAUCACUUUCGAAAGCGAGCCGACCACCUUUGCCGUCUCACUGAUCGGUAUACCAAUUCAAUCGAGUUAUUCUAAUUGUUAUCUGACCUAGAAAUCACUCGGAAGGUUUAAACACAGGACGUGGAAAGCCUGGCUAUCCAAUGGUCUUGAAUCGUCUUGUUCAUUUGAAUCAAUAAUAAAACUGAAAAAAAUUUUAAACAAUUAAAAAUUGAAAAAAAAAAUAUUAAAAUAAUUUGUCGAAAUGAAAGCAAAUUUAAAAUAAAAUUUUUUGAAUAUUUA